rfam:Oryza barthii chromosome 10, whole genome shotgun sequence.
UUAAAGUUUAGUUGUGGGUUAUUGUGUCCAAUGUUUAACCGUCCGUCUUAUUUAAAAAAUUUUUACGAUUAGUAUUUUUAUUGUUAUUAGAUGAUAAAAAUAUAAAUAAUACUUUAUGUAUGAUUUUUUAUUUUUUUUAAAUUAUCAAAUAAAACGAAUGAUCAUGUAUUGGAUACAGAAACCCACAACUAACUUCAAA